UGAGGGAAUGUGCAUCAUCAUCUAGUGCUCCCUCCAUCCUGAAUCUCACCUGUUCAGACUCUGUCAGGCUGCUGAAUGGAUCCAGUGUGUGUUCAGGCAGACUGGAGGUGAAGUCUGACCAGACCUGGUCCUCAGUGUGUGAAGCUGACUUUGACCAGCAGGAUGCAGAGGUGGUCUGCAGGGAGCUCGGCUGUGGGCCUUCUUCAGUCCUCCAGGGGGCGCUCUAUGGAGAAGGGGAGGCUCCCAUGUGGACCAAAGAGUUCCAGUGUGGAGGCCAUGAGUCUGCUCUGCUGGACUGUAGAAGCUCAGACUCUGAUAGAAACACCUGCUCACCUGGCAGAGCUGCUGGACUCACCUGCUCAGAUCCUGAUGAUGUCAGA